GCCGCCACCGCCGCCGCUGCUGCAUGGCACUAGGCUCCCGGCGGGGCAGGUUCCGCAGCCGGCACCGCUCUGGCUAGGCGCACGGAGGCGCCUUGCUUAGUCUGACCCUUAUUUGGCCAGGCGUAAAACUUGUCCUGCCUAAAAGCCUACUGAGACCUCCUAACUGGUCUAAUCCGCGGGAGACGCCAAAGGCGGCGGCCGUUUGUGCGCACAGGAUUUUUCUUGGAGCUGUAGCAGUCUAGGAAGCCAGGGUGGAACUUUUGCUAAGCUCCCGUUGUAAGCCCAGAGCUGUAAUAACUGCUGAGACACAACCAGCAGUAUACAGGCUCCAGUUGGAAAUCGAGAACUUUCCAGGGCUGUCACCCAGGCUGGAGUGCAGUGGUGCCAUCACAGCUCACUGCAGCCUCGACCUCCUAGGCUAAAGUGAUCCUCCCAACUCAGCCUCCCGUAGCUGGGACUACAGGAAUGUGCCACGCCCAGAGGAGGACAUACAAAGGAGUCCUGGCUAAUGAGAGAUAAGCAUGUGCCUGCUGUGGAGCUUCUUGGAAAGUUUCAACUGGUAAAAGGGGAAGAAUUGAACACAGAAGUGAUGGCAAGAGGUAUGGGAGCCACUUUGCAACAAAGAGGAAGCGAAAAAAGAAUAGCAGAAAUGUUGACCCUGAUAUUGUUAAACUGAUGAGCUAUUGCCAGCAGCCUCUUAAACUCAAAACAUCUUUUUAGAUGAGAAAAAAAAAUGUAAGUCAUUAUUAAUUGGUUUUAUGAUAUCUCCACCCAGACCAUUUCAAA
rnacentral:lncRNA from 1 species